GAAUGAUGUCACAUUGCUCAUGUAUAAACCAGACAAACCUGGAGAAAGUCUUAUAUUGAGCUCAUCCCUUACAUUCACACAUAAACAAUAAUCCACCAUCCCAAAAACAUCACUCAGAAAUUUCAAAUAAUGCCAGCAAAAUUCUAAGGUACAUCCCUACUAUUGCUAACAGUAGAAAUAUCACGUCACUGACGACUGAGCCACGCCAUUUGAAAGCCAUGGCCCAUAACUGCGGCAGCAAAAAGCACAAUUGCACUAAUAUUCCGAAGGAGAAAUGACAUCAUCAAUCUUCAGAAUCAUCUUCACCACU
rnacentral:misc_RNA from 1 species